rnacentral:rRNA from 1 species
AGAACGAACGCUGGCGGCAUGCCUAAUACAUGCAAGUCGAACGAGAUCUUCGGGUCUAGUGGCGCACGGGUGCGUAACGCGUGGGAAUCUACCCUUGGGUUCGGAAUAACAGUUGGAAACGACUGCUAAUACCGGAUGAUGACGAAAGUCCAAAGAUUUAUCGCCCAAGGAUGAGCCCGCGUAGGAUUAGCUAGUUGGUGAGGUAAAGGCUCACCAAGGCUACGAUCCUUAGCUGGUCUGAGAGGAUGAUCAGCCACACUGGGACUGAGACACGGCCCAGACUCCUACGGGAGGCAGCAGUAGGGAAUAUGGACAAUGGGGGCAACCUGAUCCAGCAAUGCCGCGUGAGUGAUGAAGGUCCUUAGGUUGUAAAGUCUUCUUUUACCCGAGAUGAGUAAUAGACAGUAGUCGGUAGAAGUAAGACUCCGACGUACCUACCGUCGCCACGACACGCCGGACC